rnacentral:lncRNA from 1 species
GUGACUCUGUUCUCCUCUUUAAUUCGAGAUUACGACUUUUUCCAAGUAAGUUGCGUUCGAGAUGGACAGGCCCCUUUGAGGUUUCCAAAAUCCUAAAAUCUAGAGCAGUUGAAAUCCGGUACAGUUCCUGUAAUCCGUUUGUGGUAAAUGGACAAAGAUUGAAGUAAUACCAAGGAGGUGACAUCCCCACAGAAUGCCAUGAUCAAACUCU